AUUGAACGCUGGCGGCAUGCCUUACACAUGCAAGUCGAACGGCAGCACGGGAGCAAUCCUGGUGGCGAGUGGCGAACGGGUGAGUAAUGUAUCGGAACGUACCUUUCAGUGGGGGAUAACGUAGCGAAAGUUACGCUAAUACCGCAUAUUCUGUGAGCAGGAAAGCAGGGGAUCGCAAGACCUUGCGCUGAUUGAGCGGCCGAUAUCAGAUUAGCUAGUUGGUGAGGUAAAGGCUCACCAAGGCGACGAUCUGUAGCGGGUCUGAGAGGAUGAUCCGCCACACUGGAACUGAGACACGGUCCAGACUCCUACGGGAGGCAGCAGUGGGGAAUUUUGGACAAUGGGCGCAAGCCUGAUCCAGCCAUGCCGCGUGAGUGAAGAAGGCCUCGGUUGUAAGUACGUC
rnacentral:rRNA from 1 species